UAGCAUAUCAAUAAGCGGAGGAAAAGAAACCAACAGGGAUUGCCCUAGUAACGGCGAGUGAAGCGGCAACAGCUCAAAUUUGAAAUCUGGCGUCUUCGGCGUCCGAGUUGUAAUUUGCAGAGGGCGCUUUGGCAUUGGCAGCGGUCCAAGUUCCUUGGAACAGGACGUCACAGAGGGUGAGAAUCCCGUACGUGGUCGCUAGCCUUUACCGUGUAAAGCCCCUUCGACGAGUCGAGUUGUUUGGGAAUGGAGCUCUAAAUGGGAGGUAAAUUUCUUCUAAAGCUAAAUACUGGCCAGAGACCGAUAGCGCACAAGUAGAGUGAUCGAAAGAUGAAAAGCACUUUGGAAAGAGAGUUAAAAAGCACGUGAAAUUGUUGAAAGGGAAGCGCUUGCAGCCAGACUUGCCUGUAGUUGCUCAUCCGGGUUUCUACCCGGUGCACUCUUCUAUAGGCAGGCCAGCAUCAGUUUGGGCGGUUGGAUAAAGGUCUCUGUCAUGUACCUCUCUUCGGGGAGAACUUAUAGGGGAGACGACAUGCAACCAGCCUGGACUGAGGUCCGCGCAUCUGCUAGGAUGCUGGCGUAAUGGCUGUAAGCGGCCCGUCUUGAAACACGGACCAAGGAGUCUAACAUCUAUGCGAGUGUUUGGGUGUCAAGCCCGAGCCCGUAAUGAAAGUGAACGGAGGUGGGAACCUUUCGGGGUGCACCAUCGACCGAUCCUGAUGUCUUCGGAUGGAUUUGAGUAAGAGCAUAGCUGUUGGGACCCGAAAGAUGGUGAACUAUGCUUGAAUAGGGUGAAGCCAGAGGAAACUCUGGUGGGAGGCUCGCAGCGGUUCUGACGUGCAAAUCGAUCGUCAAAUUUGGGCAUAGGGGCGAAAGACUAAUCGAACUAUCUAGUAGCUGGUUCCUCCAAA
rnacentral:rRNA from 1 species